rnacentral:rRNA from 1 species
GCAAGUCGAGGGGUAACGAUGUAGCUUGCUACAGGCGACGACCGGCGCACGGGUGAGUAACGCGUAUGCAACCUACCUCAAACUGAGGGAUAGCCCAUGGAAACGUGGAUUAAUACCUCAUAGUAUGUAUUUAUCGCAUGAUAGAUACAUUAAAGCUCCGGCGGUUUGAGAUGGGCAUGCGUGCCAUUAGAUAGUUGGUGAGGUAACGGCUCACCAAGUCAACGAUGGCUACGGGGUCUUAAAGGAUGGUC